ACAACCCAGCCUUUCCGGAUCCAAUCCUCCUCCCUCUCCCCCAACCACCCACCGCGACCGCUCCGCUACUCCAGUCUCCCAAUCAGUGCCGCUCCGCCGCUCCAGUCUCCCAAUCAGCGCCGCUCCAUCUUCCCACCCACUGCCGUGGUGCCGCCGCUCCAGUCUCCCAAUCAGUGCUGCUCCCCUCACUUCCCACCCUAGGUCACAGAUGGAGUCGAGCAGGUCAGCGCCACGGCCAGACUCGCCACGGAUAAGCACCGUCGUCGAGCUGGAGCUGGGCCGCGGCAGAGGCCGACUUCUUCUCCACAAUCUGGUGCAGGGAGAGGAGGCCACUGCUUCCUCCGGCGUGUGCUUCUUCUCGGGAUGACAUGGAGCUUCUCAAGGUCCCCUCUUCUUCCUCCCCGCAUCUCUCUCUCCGUUGGAUGCGAUUCGGCAGGCGUGGUUCCCUGCCUGAUUUGGUGUCCUCACGCAUGUAGGUGACAGCCAUGUGGUGCGCGCGCGGAUUCUUCCUCAACUUCGGCGCCUUCCGCCCUCCCCCUUUGCUGGCCAGGCCGAUUGAUUCUUCAUGGAGAUGCAGGUCGAGCAGCAGAUGUUUCCGCCUCCGUUCAUGGGGUAGCUAGAUGGAUCAUGUAUGAGGAUGGAUCAGAACGGGAUGAUGGUGGUGAAGAUGAUGGUGAAGCAUCAGAGGAUGAUGGUGCCCGGGAUAAAGUGAAGAAAAAGAAGAAAAGAUUACUAGAAGAUUAGUUUUAGGAUUUUCUUU